rnacentral:rRNA from 1 species
AUUGAACGCUGGCGGCAGGCCUAACACAUGCAAGUCGAACGAGUGGCGGACGGGUGAGUAAUGUCUGGGCAACUGCCCGAUGGAGGGGGAUAACUACUGGAAACGGUAGCUAAUACCGCAUACCAUCGGAUGUGCCCAGAUGGGAUUAGCUAGUAGGUGGGGUAACGGCUCACCUAGGCGACGAUCCCUAGCUGGUCUGAGAGGAGGACCAGCCACACUGGAACUGAGACACGGUCCAGACUCCUACGGGAGGCAGCAGUGGGGAAUAGUGCGCAAUGGGCGCAAGCCUGAGGCAGCCAUGCCGCGUGUAUGAAGAAGGCCUUCGGGUUGUAAAGCACUUUCAGCGAGGAGGCGUUACUCGAAGAAGAAGCAUCGGCUAACUCCGUGCCAGCAGCCGCGGUAAUUC